AACUCUUAGCGGUGGAUCACUCGGCUCGUGCGUCGAUGAAGAACGCAGCUAGCUGCGAGAAUUAAUGUGAAUUGCAGGACACAUUGAUCAUCGACACUUCGAACGCCCCAUCUCUCCCCUGCACAGCAUAG
rnacentral:rRNA from 1 species